rnacentral:rRNA from 1 species
AGUGAACGCUGGCGGUAGGCCUAACACAUGCAAGUCGAACGGCAGCACAGUAAGAGCUUGCUCUUACGGGUGGCGAGUCGCGGGCGGAUGAGGAAUACAUCGUACUCUACUUUUUCGGGGGGGUUAACGUAGGGAAACUUACGAUCAUACAGCAUACGACGUACGGUUGAAAGCAUGGGAUCUUCGCACCUUGCGCGAUUGGAUGAGCCGAUGUCGGAUUAGCUAGUUGGCUGGUUAAAGGCCUACGCAGUCGACGAUCCGUAGCUCGUGUGAGAGGAGGAUCAGCCACACUAGAGCUGGGACACGGUCCAGACUCCUAAGGGAGGCAGCAGUGGGGAACGUUGGACAAUAGGCGCAAGCCUGAUCCAGCCAUACCGCGUGGGUGAAGAAGGCCUUCGGGUUGUGAAGCCCUUUUGUUGGGAAAGAAAAGCAGCAGGUUAAGACCCCGCUGUUCUGACGGUACCCAAUGAAUAAGCACCGGCUAACUACGUG